rnacentral:tRNA from 1 species
GUGGAUAUAGCUCAGUUGGUUAGAGCGCCAGAUUGUGGAUCUGGAGGUCGCGGGUUCGAGCCCCGUUAUCCACC